ACCACACUGAGCAAUGCGAAUCAAGCUUUGUCUGAUUACAGGGCGCUGCUCUAAUCCCCAACUAUCUCCACAUAACUUCAAUACAUCCCAAAGCGCCAAACACAAUAUCAACCCUACAAGCGCAAGCAGCUUUUGGUACCUGUAACCCAAAUUUAUCAACAUUCAACUAACAAUCAAAUUGCACUAAAAUAAAGAAACCAAGCAACAGAAAUUAAAUCCUGCAGUUACAUACAACAACAACAACAACUACCCAGUAUAGUCCCAGAAAGUGGGGUCUGUGAAGGGUAAUAUGUAGACGAGCCUUACCCCUACCCGAAAGGGCAGAGAG
rnacentral:lncRNA from 1 species